GAUUAAGAACGUAGCGAAAUGCGAUACGUAAUGUGAAUUGCAGAAUUCAGUGAAUCAUCGAAUCUUUGAACGCACAUUGCGCCUGCCAGCACUCUGGCAGGCAUGCCUGUUCGAGCGUCAUUUCAACCAUCAAGCCCUAGGCUUGCGUUGGAGCCCUGCGGCUGCCGCAGGCCCCUAAAAGCAGUGGCGGGCUCGCUAUCACACCGAGUGCAGUAGAUUACUCUUCGCUCAGGGCGUGUGGCGGGUUCCAGCCGUGAAACCCCCUACUUCUCAAGGUUGACCUCGGAUCAGGUAGGAAUACCCGCUGAACUUAAGCAUAUCAAUAAGCGGAGGA
rnacentral:misc_RNA from 1 species